CCGCUAUUGGAGUUCGAUUAAGCCAUGCGAGUCGCGAGAAAUUAGAUUCUCGGCGUACCGCUCAGUAACACGUGGGUAACCUGCCCUAUGCUGGAUAAUAACCUCGGGAAACUGAGUAUAAUGAUCCAUAGUUCACUACGCCUGGAACGGUGAGUGGAUGAAAGCUCCGGCGGCAUAGGAUGGGCCUGCGGCGUAUCAGGUAGUAGGGGGUGUAACGUACCCUCUAGCCCUCUACGCGUACGGGUGUUGGGAGACAUAGCCCGGAGAUGGAUUCUGAGACGCGAAUCCAGACCCUACGGGGUGCAGCAGGCGCGAAAACUUGGCAAUGCGAGAAGUCGUGACCAGGGAACUCCAAGUGCAUCGGGUAAGACCGGUGCUUUUCUUGACUCUAAAUAGGUCUUGGAAUAAGGGGUGGGUAAGGACGGUGCCAGCCGCCGCGGUAAUACCGGCGCCUCAAGUGGUAGUCGCUUUUAUUGGGCCUAAAACGUCCGUAGCCGGUCUGAUACAUUCGUGGGUAAAUCAACCAGCUCAACUGGUUGAAUUCUGCGAGGACGGUCAGACUUGGGACCGGGAGAGGUGUGGGGUACGCUCAGGGUAGGGGUAAAAUCCUGUCAUCCUGAGCGGACCACCUGUUGCGAAGGCGCCACACUAGAACGGAUCCGACGGUCAGGGACGAAGCCUAGGGGCACGAACCGGAUUAGAUACCCGGGUAGUCCUAGGUGUAAACGCUGUGGACUUGAUGUUGGGGGUGCUCCGAGCACUCUCAGUGUCGAAGCGAAGGUGAUAAGUCCACUGCCUGGGAAGUACGGUCGCAAGGCUGAAACUUAAAGGAAUUGGCGGGGGAGCACCGCAACCUGAGGAUUGUGCGG
rnacentral:rRNA from 1 species